UACGUAGGCAGCAAGCGUUGUUCGGAGUUACUGGGCGUAAAGGGUGUGUAGGCGGUUCUUUAAGUUUGGUGUGAAAUCUCCCGGCUCAACUGGGAGGGUGCGCCGAAUACUGAGGGACUAGAGUACGGGAGAGGAAAGUGGAAUUCCUGGUGUAGCGGUGAAAUGCGUAGAUAUCAGGAGGAACACCGGUGGUGUAGACGGCUUUCUGGACCGACACUGACGCUGAGACGCGACAGCGUGGGGGAGCAAACAGG
rnacentral:rRNA from 1 species